rnacentral:rRNA from 1 species
CAAUAGCGUAUAUUUAAGUUGUUGCAGUUAAAAAGCUCGUAGUUGGAUUUCGGAUGGGAUUUGCCGGUCCGUCGUUACGAUGUGCACUGGCCAGUCCUAUCUUGUUGUCGGGGACUAGCUCCUUGGAUUCACUUCCUGGGACUAGGAGCUGACGAGGUUACUUUGGGUAAAUUAGAGUGUUCAAAGCAAGCCUACGCUCUGAAUACAUUAGCAUGGAAUAACACGAUAGGACUCUGGCUUAUCUUGUUGGUCUGUGAGACCAGAGUAAUGAUUAAGAGGGACAGUCGGGGACAUUCGUAUUUCAUUGUCAGAGGUGAAAUUCUUGGAUUUAUGAAAGACGAACUUCUGCGAAAGCAUUUGUCAAGGAUGUUUUCAUUAA